CCUACGGGUGGCAGCAGUGAGGAAUAUUGGUCAAUGGGCGCGAGCCUGACCCAGCCACGUAGCGUGAAGGAUGACUGCCCUACGGGUUGUAAACUUCUUUUAUAAAGGAAUAAAGUGAGGCACGUGUGCCUUUUUGAAUGUACUUUAUGAAUAAGGAUCGGCUAACUCCGUGCCAGCAGCCGCGGUAAUACGGAGGAUCCGAGCGUUAUCCGGAUUUAUUGGGUUUAAAGGGAGCGUAGAUGGGUUGUUAAGUCAGUUGUGAAAGUCUGGGGCUCAACCGUAAAAUUGCAAUUGAUACUGGCAUUCUUGAGUACAGUAGAGGUAGGCGGAAUUCGUGGUGUAGCGGUGAAAUGCUUAGAUAUCACGAAGAACUCCGAUUGCGAAGGCAGCUUACUAAACUGCCACUGACAUUGAUGCUCGAAAGUGUGGGUAUCAAACAGGAUUAGAUACCCUUGUAGUC
rnacentral:rRNA from 1 species